UUACUGUAAGCGUACCGAAGGCUCGUCUUCGUAAAAACGGAAAUUAAAUUUUAAAUGCUAAUAAUAACAAUUACGCAUUUGCCGCUUAAUUAAAGCGACUGUCCAAGCGGGAAAUCCCGUUGUUUUCGUAAGGGCAUCAUUUUUAACGGGGAACGGCUUUUCGUAAGACGCAGGCGAAAAGUUGUAUUUAUGCGGACACGUUUAUAUCGGUUUUGUUUAUCGUCCGAUAUAAAAAGGGAUAAUCGACAAACUACGUACGUAGAAAACAUAAUUGACGGCGGUAAGACCCGAGUGCAAUUCUCGGCCACUCCACCA
rnacentral:tmRNA from 1 species